rnacentral:rRNA from 1 species
UGCAGUCGAGCGNNCAGAAGGGAGCUUGCUCCCGGAUGUUAGCGGCGGACGGGUGAGUAACACGUGGGUAACCUGCCUGUAAGACUGGGAUAACUCCGGGAAACCGGAGCUAAUACCGGAUAGUUCCUUGAACCGCAUGGUUCAAGGAUGAAAGACGGUUUCGGCUGUCACUUACAGAUGGACCCGCGGCGCAUUAGCUAGUUGGUGGGGUAAUGGCUCACCAAGGCGACGAUGCGUAGCCGACCUGAGAGGGUGAUCGGCCACACUGGGACUGAGACACGGCCCAGACUCCUACGGGAGGCAGCAGUAGGGAAUCUUCCGCAAUGGACGAAAGUCUGACGGAGCAACGCCGCGUGAGUGAUGAAGGUUUUCGGAUCGUAAAGCUCUGUUGUUAGGGAAGAACAAGUGCGAGAGUAACUGCUCGCACCUUGACGGUACCUAACCAGAAAGCCACGGCUAACUACGUGCCAGCAGCCGCGGUAAUACGUAGGUGGCAAGCGUUGUCCGGAAUUAUUGGGCGUAAAGGGCUCGCAGGCGGUUUCUUAAGUCUGAUGUGAAAGCCCCCGGCUCAACCGGGGAGGGUCAUUGGAAACUGGGAAACUUGAGUGCAGAAGAGGAGAGUGGAAUUCCACGUGUAGCGGUGAAAUGCGUAGAA